GCGUCAUGGUCUUAUGUUUGAUAGGUUGUUCCUCAAUUUGACAGGAAAAGGUCGUAAAGUUCACCAAAGUCAGUCCAGAUAUUUAGAGAAUAUUUGAACAAGAGAGGAAAAUGAAGCUGAUUUUCUUUCUUCUUGUCCUCUUGAAAAGCGGUGAGAAUGGUUUUUCUGUUCUUAAGAUUAUGAGCUAAAUCUGACAUUUGACUGAAUCCAUGAUUAUAUUCUCUGUUUAAAUUUAAUAGCAGACAUUUGACCUAUUUUAACUGAAUUGCAAAAAUCUUGUGGGUUAACCUUAAUUAUUUUAUUGGUACUUUGUAUGAUUUUGAUAAUAAGAUAAUUAUAUAAUUAUCAUAAUAACACUACAAAUUAAACUCAAUAUUUUAAGCAGCAAUAAAAGAUGGGAUUGUCUAUCAUCUCAGUCAUCUUUAAACUAAGAAAACAUUAAUGUUCGGUAAAUGUUUUGCAGGAAUAAAUUCAACCGAAGGACUCCAUGUGCUUUAUUCAUCAGAGAGAAUUAUUUUAAAAUAUUUCUUUAACCCAGCCUUUCAAAGUCAUGAAAUAUCUUGCUGUAAGUUCAGUCAGUCACUCUGCUUCUUCUUUGUGAAUAAUAGAAGACAAGUUGCCUCCAUGUAUCGAGGAAGAAUAUUUGUCACAAAUAACAAUGGAGAAUUUGAAGUAAUAAUUACAAAUCUGAGUGUAAUGGAUGCUGGCAUGUACAGAUGUGGUUUCAGUGGGUUCCCUAAGACCUAUGAGUAUGUGGAAGUUACCGUUUCUGAUCUAAGUGGAGUAAACACAGCUCCUCUCUGGCCAAAAUCCGUCAUUAUACCAACAGUCAGCCCGUCUUAUUCUCCCUCUGCACCCAUUGCUUCUGAGAAUGAUGCAGAGACACUCAGGUAAAUUUUGUCACAAAUAUGAACCCCUAACAAUUCCAACUUUUAACAGUUAUUAAUCUGUGUAUCACAAUACAUUAAGCAGUGGCAGCUGGAGAACAUCCUUCAGUCUAGCUGCUGUUUUUAGUCUUCUGGUGUUUGCUGUCAUCUCAAUGACACUGCUCGUGUAUUGUCUAAAAACCAGGAAGAAAAAAUCCACAGGUAGGUGGAUGGACAAUGAUUAUUUUUAAUCAUCUAAGGAAUUUUUUAGCUGAACACUUUUUUUUUUUUUUUUGCCCACAGAUAAAAGUGAAGUCUGUGGUUCUCCUAACACCACACUGGUAAGCAGUUUGUACAAACUGUAUCUUCUCCACUGACUCAUAACCACAUGAAUUCAGUAUCUUAGCAAAGACAUUACAAAACAGAUAAACAUACAGCAGAUAUAAGACAUUUAAGUGUAGACUCUUUAUGAAUUAUAUUCUUAAUGAAUAUUACUCUGGGGUAAAAUUAUAAUUUCGAGAAUCAUUAGUUCAAUUACAGCUUGUUUACAGCUUGUUCAUAGUAUGCUGAUCUGUGAUCAGCUUCGUCAUCCAUAAAAGGAAAAUUAGAUAUAGCGAACAUAGCUUGAUAUAGAUGGAUGGUUUCUGAAAUGUCAUCAAACCCUGUCUGCUCAACAUUUCUCCACAGGAGCAGGACGGCAUUAUCUACUCUAUGGUGGAGUUUGAGCCCCACCAGGAUCCAUAUGAACUUUAUGCCAAUUUGCAGCUAUACAGCCCAAAAGAUGCUAAUGCUUCUUCAAGCUGUACAGUCACAGUAAAGGAAACCGUAGAAUAUUCCACUAUUAUGAGAUCAUCAGCAUAGACAUUUGCAAUGUUUGUGUUCAAUGUAUUCAUUGCUAUGAUUUGUUUUUGUUGUUGUUGCUUUUGUUUGCUUGAGGGAUUUGUUUCUUACAAGAUUUUUUUAACUAUAUUUUUAAUGCAACAUUGUACUGAUACUGUAGUAAUUAUUUUAUUCUUGAAAAUGUCAUUAUGAUGAUUAAUGCCUGAAAAUUUCUAUAUAGUAAAAUGUGUAUUAUCUAAAAAUUAGUUACUUUUAACUCUUAAACAAUUUAUGUAUUUUGACUCAUGUGGGUGUUUGACUUAGAAAGACAUAGAAACACACAGGAUGACAAUUUGUGAUGCAGUAAUUAUAAUUUUAUUUUGGAUGAACAGAGAACCUUUCAAUCAUGAAUCUCUAUUUAGAUGUCGAAAUAGGUGAAAACCAGUUUUUGCAAUCCAGUGCUUCUUUAGGCAGCAAAAUGUAGGCCCAUCAGAAUCUACUAAUUCUGUUUGAGCGAGACAACAUAAACAUAUGUGGUGACAGAUGUUGUAUGUGAUGUAUUAUGUUAGUAUCGAAUGGGAUUUAAGGGAUACUGGGAUAAUCAAGGACACUCAAAUGAAUCAAGACUACCAGUUUACAAAAACCAUAUCAAAUAAAUUCAGCAAUGAGAUUUUAUGGCACCCUUACUUUGUCUUCAUCGAGGUCCUAGGUAGGCAGAUUGUUGACCUGUCCAUGUUGAUCUGCCAGCAGGUCUCAGAGGUGAAGAGAAUCCAUUGCAUUUACUACAGACUUCAGAGGAACAAUCUUUCUUGUCAUUUUUUUUUAAUUCUAUGAACUGAAACUAGAUUGAAAAAAGAUUGAACUGGUCAUAUAGAACAGUUAUAGACUAUUAAACAGAAGUGAAACUUAAAAAGGGGGGAUCAAAUAGUCAUCUUUUCGUCAUACAUCGUUGACUGUUGUGGGCUAAUGACUGUUGUGGGCUAAUUUAAUAUUGACCACCAUUCUUCCUGUUCUUGUUGUUACACUUCUAUUUUACAUUUUUUACAUAAACCAAAUGUUUUAAAUGGUAUAUUCUAAUGAAUAUAAUUUCCCAUUCUGACAGUAAAAAUUAGACAAAAAUAUGUUUAGCGAUGUCUUUAGGGGCAUGUAUUGACACUAAUGCAUGGUAAACAAUGAUCAUGUAUUUUAGUUGUAAUAUUUUAUUGUUGUAUUAUAUGAUGUUUUUAUAGAAAUUUUCCAAAUAGAUUUGGAAUAUUACAAUAUUAUGGCAUUUUAUGCAAUUUCUACAAUUAUUUUGCUGUCUUUACUGGACAAAUAUAGUAUUUAGAGAAAUGCCUUUUUUGUAUUAAGCAUCAGAUAUUUCAUCUAAUGAAACACUUAUAGUUUGCUUAUAAUCUUAAAUUAUAUGAUCCCUUUUGAUCUCAGUCUACCUUCAACAUUAGAUGUGAAUUUCAAAGAGAGUCAGGGU
ensembl:lncRNA